rnacentral:rRNA from 1 species
AUUGAACGCUGGCGGCAUGCUUUACACAUGCAAGUCGAACGGCAGCGCGGGCUUCGGCCUGGCGGCGAGUGGCGAACGGGUGAGUAAUGCAUCGGAACGUGCCCAGUAGUGGGGGAUAGCCCGGCGAAAGCCGGAUUAAUACCGCAUACGACCUGAGGGUGAAAGCGGGGGACCGAAAGGCCUCGCGCUAUUGGAGCGGCCGAUGUCGGAUUAGCUAGUUGGUGGGGUAAAGGCUUACCAAGGCGACGAUCCGUAGCUGGUCUGAGAGGACGACCAGCCACACUGGGACUGAGACAGGGCCCAGACUCCUACGGGAGGCAGCAGUGGGGAAUUUUGGACAAUGGGGGCAACCCGGAUCCAGCCAUGCCGCGUGCGGGAAGAAGGACUUCGGGUUGUAAACCGCUUUUGUUCGGGAAGAAAUCCUCUGGGCUAAUACCCCGGGGGGAUGACGGUACCGGAAGAAUAAGCACCGGCUAACUACGUG